UGGUAACCUCAGCUCUGGGUGUGGAUCUAUGUUCAGAGGACAGUCUAUGAGCUCUGCUCCUCAUGGAUCCUCAGGAGAACUGUUGAAGGAUCUGAGCAUCGGACUGAGAGCAGUGACAAACAUGUGGAACAAUGAAUGACAGGGAGACACCUCCAGCUGAGUGUGGUGCAGAUGGGAGGAUGCACAUCCAGAGGAAGAACCUUCAGUCCAUAUCUGUUCAUCUGAGCAAGACCUUCACUCUGCUUCCAACGAUGUGUCUUUUCAUAUUAUGUUAUUUAACUUUAUUUUAUGUCUUUUCAUGUUUUGUCAUGUCAUUUUAUGUGUCGAGUGUCUUUGUAUCAUGAUAUUUUAUUUCAUCUCAUUCUGUGUUGUGUACUUCUGUGUGAUGUCUUGUCUUUGUAUGUCUUAGUUGUCCCUGUACCAGUGUCAUUCUGUGUUGUGUCAUUUUAUUUUGUGUUGUCUUUUCAUCAAAAUGAUUGUUAUCAAGUCUGUGUUGAGUUGUGUCAUGUGAUUUCCUGUUGUUUGGUGGUCUCCAAUGCUGUAACUGUAUCUGUACGUCAUUCCUAGUUGUAGUGAUAAAUACACCAUAUCUCAUUAUAUAAUGUAGGCCUGGGCCAAUAUUCAAGAACAUCAAAUGCUAAAUAUUUUCCGCUAAAAUAAAUAAAUGUAUCUAUCUAAAUUUAUAUUUAUA